rnacentral:rRNA from 1 species
CCUACGGGCGGCAGCAGUGAGGAAUAUUGGUCAAUGGGCGGGAGCCUGAACCAGCCAAGUCGCGUGAGGGAAGACGGUCCUAUGGAUUGUAAACCUCUUUAGGCGGGGAGCAAUGCCGGGCACGCGUGCCCGGAGGGAGAGUACCCGCAGAAUAAGCAUCGGCUAACUCCGUGCCAGCAGCCGCGGUAAUACGGAGGAUGUGAGCGUUAUCCGGUUUUAGUGGGUUUAAAGGGUGCGUAGGCGGAUUUUUAAGUCAGCGGUAAAAUGUCCGGGCUCAACCCGGGCCGGCCGUUGAAACUGGGGAUCUUGAGUGGGCGAGAAGUAUGCGGAAUGCGUGGUGUAGCGGUGAAAUGCAUAGAUAUCACGCAGAACUCCGAUUGCGAAGGCAGCAUACCGGCGCCCGACUGACGCUGAGGCACGAAAGCGUGGGGAUCGAACAGGAUUAGAUACCCCUGUAGUC